rnacentral:rRNA from 1 species
CGUCAGCUCGUGUCGUGAGAUGUCGGGUUAAGUCCCUUAACGAGCGAAACCUUUGCCCUUAGUUACCAUCGGGUCAUGCCGGGGACUCUAAGGGGACUGCCGGUGUCAAACCGGAGGAAGGUGGAGAUGACGUCAAGUCCUCAUGGCCUUUAUGCCCAGGGCCACACACGUGCUACAAUGGCGUCGACAAAGCGACCCGAGAGCGCAAGCUGGAGGAAAUCGCAGAAAUGACGCCCCAGUUCAGAUUGGAGGCUGCAACCCGCCUCCAUGAAGUUGGAAUCGCUAGUAAUCGCGGAUCAGCUACGCCGCGGUGAAUGUGUUCCUGAGCCUUGUACACACCGCCCGUCAAGCCAUGGAAGCUGGGUGUACCUAAAGUCGGUAACCGCAAGGAGCCGCCUAGGGUAAAACUAGUGACUGGGGCUAAGUCGUAACAAGGUAGCCGU